UACGUAGGGUGCAAGCGUUGUCCGGAAUUAUUGGGCGUAAAGAGCUCGUAGGCGGUUUGUCGCGUCGGCUGUGAAAACUCGGGGCUCAACCCCGAGCCUGCAGUCGAUGCGGGCAGACUAGAGUGCUGUAGGGGAGACUGGAAUUCCUGGUGUAGCGGUGAAAUGCGCAGAUAUCAGGAGGAACACCGGUGGCGAAGGCGGGUCUCUGGGCAGUAACUGACGCUGAGGAGCGAAAGCGUGGGGAGCAAACAGG
rnacentral:rRNA from 1 species